UUGACAUCCCAGGAGAGUUCUUGCCAUCCUCAUCCACACACUAUUAAUAGUACAGGCAUUGGCCAUGUGCACUAUCCCACACACACUGAAACUGGACUUCAACCCUCUGCUAUAGAGGCCACCCCUGGUGAUGAGAAGGAGCUUGUCCUUCAUAGCAAUUUCAUUCUUGGCUUUU
rnacentral:sRNA from 1 species